rnacentral:rRNA from 1 species
UUCCUACGGGGGGCAGCAGUGGGGAAUAUUGCACGAUGGGGGAAACCCUGAUGCAGCGACGCCGCGUGAGCGAUGAAGUAUUUCGGUAUGUAAAGCUCUAUCAGCAGGGAAGAAAAUGACGGUACCUGACUAAGAAGCCCCGGCUAACUACGUGCCAGCAGCCGCGGUAAUACGUAGGGGGCAAGCGUUAUCCGGAUUUACUGGGUGUAAAGGGAGCGUAGGCGGCGAUGCAAGUCAGAAGUGAAAGCCCGGGGCUCAACUCCGGGACUGCUUUUGAAACUGUAUGGCUAGAUUGCAGGAGAGGG